rnacentral:lncRNA from 1 species
UUUGUGUACCGUGCGUGUGAUCUGUUGUGCGUGGGGGGCUUCAUUGGAGAAGAAGAAGGAGGUGCAGGGUGUUAUGGGGAAGUUUUAGGGACUUUUGCACAAUUAACCCGUAGAUCUGGGGACUAGAUUGAAAGUUUAUCUCGGUUUUCUUUAGUUCCUAGAUCUAAAAAGGUUGCAACUUUGGAAAUUCGUAGUAAAUUGUAGAAACAUCGUAAAAUAGCA